rnacentral:lncRNA from 1 species
UCCAGAAACAAAUAUCAAUAUAAUUUUAUUAAUAAGGUAAAUGCAUGAUGAAUCAUACAAUUUCAUACCCAGCCAACUUUUGUAGUGGCGUUUAUUGUAAUUUUGAAAUAACGUGUUGUUCACUUGACUUUCUUUAUUAUACAUACAUGUAAAUUAAACAACACAAAAUCAAAAGUUGUUGACUUGACUUUCUUUAUUAUACAUGUAAAUUAAACAACGCAAAAAUCAAACUGCAUAAUGGGGAUGUGUACAAGAGCUUGUCUCCGCUGCACGCUAAACCACCGUGUUACAUAGAGAAAAACCAAGUUUAGUGGGUUGACAAGCGCAACAAACCCAACAAUCGUUGCAAUCAAAGCUAGAAUUACAAGAUCUAAAACAAGUGUUGAGUUGUGGGAGUAGUCUCUUCCUCAUUCCUAAUAGAUUAUGAUCAACAUCCAGUGCAGCUCUGACUGUUGUGUUUGUCAAAAAGGGCACAUGUGCUACAAAUAUUCGUUAUACAGGGAAUUAGAUGUAAAUUCAUGCUUUAAUAUGAAAGAUAUACACAGUCAUGUAUAUAUAAAACUACAUACAUAAUACAAGAUGUAGAUAAUAUAUAAUUAAAAUUUACACUUAAACGUAAGCGGUACUUACUAGUUGCCACCAUGACGAGAAUAGCGAGCACAAAAGAAUUCUUUAGCAACAUCAUUGUGUUAUAAAAGUUUAUGAGUGGCUAAUUACUUCUAAAAUGUCGUAAUUUAUAGACCUUCUUGAGAUCAAACUACAUCUCUGGCAUGUGCCGUACUUGCUUCGUUUUUUGCUUUUCUAGAUUAUUUAUUAUCUUGCUUCAAUGUUCACUUCAAGCACGUGUUGACCUCCCAUUUUAAAAUUGGAUAUUGAAGAAGUAUUAUAGAGUUAAAGUACUUCCUACUUGCCCUCUAUUAAAGAAACACUACUAGAAAUCAAGUCAUUUCCGUUCAAAGAGUUUUGAUCGAAAUGGGUCGGAAAUAUUUUCGACCGAAAUCGAUCGCAAAUAAAAAAAACCGGUCGCAAAAGUCAACGAAAAUUUCCUGCCACCAAAAAAACUAACAUUUCCGACCGAUUUCGCUCGGAAAUUGGUCAAAUAUUUAGUCAAACAAAAACUUUUUUAAUUUUCCGACUGAUUUCGAUCGGAAACUGGUCAAAUAUUUCGUCAAACCAAAACUUUUCCAAUUUUCCGACCGAUUUCGGUUGGAAAUUAGUCGAAUAUUUGGUCUUCCAAUUAUAAAAUGUAUAAAAGUUUCAAAAUUUCCGACCAAUUUCGGUCGGAAAUUGGUCAUAAUGUCAAAUUCAUUAUUUAUUAAUUUUUUUCAAUUUUUUGACCGCUUUUGGUCGGAAAACAGUCAAGUAUUUCGCCCACCUUAUACCAAAAUAAUUAUUUAUUAAAAAACCUUUAUUUCAAAAAAAAAAAAGUUUUGACCAAUGUCGGCCGGUUAUUAGUCAAAUAUUUGGUCAAUCUAAAUAUUAUGUACGCACAUGAUUACCAAAAUUUCGACCGAAAUUGGUUAGAAAAUGGUCAAAUAUAUUGUCGAGCUUUCUACUUAAUGUACAAAAACUAUUAUUUACUAAAAUAUUUCUAAAUUCCGACUGAAUUUGGCCGGAACGUUUUUGUUUCUUUCAUAAGACAAAAAAUUUGUAUAUUUAUUUAACCAAUCAAUGAUUAAUGUUUUUAUACGAAUUAAAAAAUAUAAGUUUAAUAAUAUUAUGUGAUAGUAAAGAGGUUUUAAAUAAAUAAUAUUUAAAAUUGUGUGUGUGUGUGUGUGUGUGUAUAUAUAUAUAUAUAUAUAUAUAUAUAUAUAUAUAUAUAUAAUGUUUUAUUCAAUAUACCUUAUAUACUAUACACUUAGUUAUAUACAACAUUAUAUUAUGUAGUAGUGAUUGUUUAUCUUAUAAGUUGAUAAUUACACUGAUAAUAACAUUAAGUAGAAUUGUAAGUAUCCUCAAGAAAUGUUAACUACUGAUUAGUUUAUGAAUUGAUAAUAACCUAAGUAGAACUGCAUUAGUAGUAUCCUUAAUUAAGUAAUGUUAGGCUCGAUUAUACUAUUAAUUGAUAAAUAUAUUAUGUAGAAAUGUAUUAGUAACAUUUAGCUUAUAAAUUGAUAAUAACACUACCAUAGUCGUCGGAAUUAAUGUAAAAAACAAUUAUUUACUAAAAUAUUUCUACAUUUCCGACUCAAUUCGGUCGGAACGUUUGAAUAAAAAAAUUCUAUAUUUAAUUAACCAAUCAAUAAUUAAUGCUUUUAUACGAAUUAAAAUAUAAGUUCAAUAAUAUUAUGUGAUAAUAAAGAGGUUUUAAAUAAAUAAUAUUUUAAAUAAAUCACUUCUAUAUUAUGUAGCAGUGACUGUUUAUCUUAUAAGUUGAUAAUUAUACUGAUACUAACACUAAGUAGAAUAGUAAGUAUCCUCGAGAAAUGUUAAGUAUUGAUUAGUUUAUGAAUUGAUAAUAACCUAAGUAGAACUGCAUUAGUAAUAUCCUUAAUUAAGUAAUGUUAGGCUCGAUUAUACUAUAAAUUGAUAAUUUCAUUAUGUUAUUUGUGACAUUUAGCUUAUUAAUUGAUAAUUACACUACCAUAGUCGUCGGAAUUAAUGUAAUAAACAAUUAUUUACUGAAAUAUUUCUAAAUUUCCAACUGAAUUCUGUCGGAACGCUUGAAUACAAAUUUUUUGUAUAUUUAAUUAACCAACCCAGAAUUAAUGCUUUUAUACGAAUUAAAAUAUAAAUUUAAUAUAUUGUGUGAUAAUAAAGAGGUUUUAAAUAUAUAAUAUUUAAUAUUAUUUUUAUAUAUAUAAGCUAUAUUCGAUGUACUAUACUAUACUAUAUAUACGUCUCUCUAUAUACAUACAUACAUACAUAUAUAUAUAUAUAUAUAUAUAUAUANNACACAUAUAUAUAUAUAUAUAUAUAUAUAUAUAUAUAUAUAUAUAUAUAUAUACACACACCUUAAUAUAUCUAAAAUUAUAUCGAAUAUACCUUAUAUACUAUACACUUAGAUAUAUAUACUAUAAUCCCAAACGGGAUCGACCCAACACCCAAAAAUCUAGCUGUAAGAGAUUUCUCAUCGAUCCGUUCUUGGCUUCAAUCUUCUAAAAAAACGCCCCCACUUGAUUUCUCAUCUUCUCCACACACGCACAGUGUGGCUGGCUUCUCAUCUUCUCAUCCGUUCCCGGCUUCAAUCUUCAUUGCUUCUUUGAACUGGGGAACACAACUUAUAUCGAAGAUUUUCCUUUCUGUUUAACCAUCCGGUAUCCCUUAUCCAUCGGCUCGAUUAAUUUGGUUUGUAUAUAGUAGUUUGAGACUAAGGAGAUGUGUGAGCACGUGAUUUUUGCCAUACAUAAGAAUAAAUCCUAAAAAUAGACCGAAAUAAUUUUUUAUUAGUUUUAAGAAUUUUUCUUUAUUUAGUUGUAUUUCAUACAUUUUUAAUAUUUUUAAAAAUCACAGAAAAGUCAUAAAAAGUGUCACAUUUCAAUUUUAUGUCAUCUUAUGUUCAAUUUGCAUUUAGGAAUUAAUUACAUUGAGUUAAUUGUAUUUAAAAAAAAAAAGAAGAAGAAAAGAAUCAUGAAAAUGAUUAAUUUUUGCAUUUUAAUUUUAGUCUUUGAAUUUCGGUAGUUUUUCGUUUAAUUUGGUUUUAAUUAGUUGCAAUAAGUAUUAGUUGUAGUAAUUAGUUUAAUUUAAAAUAAUUAGACUAGGAAUUAAUUUAGGUAUUUUUUAGUUUUAAUUUAAAGGAAAUUAGAAUAUAUGAAAACAAAAUAGAGAAAUCAUAUUUUUGGGCCAAAUUUUAUUAAAAUUCAAGCCCAAUAGGAUUUCUUUUUUAAAAAACCCAACCCAAAUUAGCCUCUACCCAACUCCAAACCGGGUCAACCCGACCCAACCUAAUACCCAAAUCCACUUCCUAACCUAAAAGACCUAACAUACACAAAAAAUACAUAGACGGACACAAUACAGAGAUAGUUGCCUGAAGCGCAACCUUGGCUUCUUCUUUACACACAUAUACGCCUAUACACAGAAGAUAUAGGCCUGGAAGAGAGAGCGGCACAGCUGUGAUUUCUUCCUACCAUAUAUUCUGCUCUUACUGGUAAAUCAUUUUCUUCUAAGGCAAAAAAUGAUACUUUAUCUGGGGAAAUUCAUAAGCUACAUAUUACUUCAUUAAACUAUAAUAAAUAAUGGAAGAACCAAAGUAAAAACAAUAGCCUAAGAUUGGAUCUUUGUUCCCCCCUCCCCCCCCCCCCCGCGCACACACAAAUUAUAUUUUCAUAAUAACAACUUUACCGGGUAAUUAUUUUCCCAAAAUUUAUGUUUAUAACAGCAACUCGUCAAAGCAUAAACAUUGUUAAAUGCCAGCUGCGCAGCUUUUACAAGACCCCUCCGACGAUCUCUCUUCUUUGUCGACCAAGCGACACCUAUGGCUGAGCAACUCCGGCGAAUCACCAAACAACAAUCAACAAUAGAACUCCGGCGUUUUGAUGUCCAAAACAGUCGUCCAAGCUCGGUCAGAUUAUAUCCUGCAAAAAAAAUCUGGCAAGUUUCGAGUUUGCGAUUUUGGAGCUGUAACUCUGCUGCUCGUUGCACUGAAUUAAGUAUAGUUUCUCAUUGGUUUUCUCCGUCAAUUUAGCCAUUUUGAGGUAUUCUCUAAUUCUCGAUUUCGUUUCCUGUAUAGAUCUAGUAAAUCAUGUAUGUUCGUCAGUGAUCGUUGCUGGAAUAAAAUUAUCCGUUCUUCACGGUUGACUUCUAUUGUAGUUACAGCUGAACUCUAUCACUGUCACUGCUGAUUUAUGCUCCAUUGUGAUUUAUGUUUAACAGAAUUAAUGGUAGUCCAAUUUUCUGUUUAACAGAAUUGUGCCUGCGUUUUUCUCGUUGAUUGUAGAGGUGGCGGACUUGCUAGGUGACUGACGUGUGGGCUUGCACCAUAGGAAUUGUGACUUGGUCAAUUCUAUAAAACUGUAUAGUGGAAUACUCCAUUAAUAUCUGUACAUUAUCCAUGUGUUAUAGAUAUCGAGCUGUAAAUCAUGUUAGAAAUCAUUUUUAGGUUAUGUGUUGGUACUGCAGGGACCAACAGAGGACAUGCUAUAUGUUGAAUAUCUGUUAAGUUGUUGUUUUGUACUCAGUCACAUACUUGCUUGCAUAUUAUAUCUCAGUCCUUAUUUUCUUUACUGAUACAUUAUAUCAUCAUUGUUUGGGCUGUUUAUCAUGAUUUUUGAAAGCCUGAGAGACUUGAUAACGCUUGGGCUGAAGAGGUCCCUCCGGAGUAUUUACACACCCCAAUGAGCAUAUGCACAUACUGAGUGCCGAGCGCUGAGUGUCGAGUGUCGAGUGCAAGUGCUGAACGACUAGGAGAAAUGAGUGAAUGUGAGAUUGGAGUAAAUGGAAGGACUCAAUGACUGUUGCACUGAGAUUAUGCACUUGAUUUAAUUACUGUUAUACUUUGACGGGAAUACGUUAGUGUCAUUUAAUUAUGAGAGAUAUUAUAUCCUGUUUUAAUUGAACUUGACAUGAAUUAACUAUUUUGACCAUAAUUCUCAAACUUGAAAGCAUGCAUAUCUUCCUAUGUUGAAAUUUCUAUAUGAACAUAUCCGUGAAGCUCGCAACUGCUUUCAUGCAUUUAUUUACUCUUGAUAUUUAUUGAAUUGGUACUCACGCUACACCAUAUACUUCGUUUGCAGAUCCAGGUAUUUUCGGAUAAGGUCGGUGUUGAUUUCUCUGCGCAACUUGAUCAUUUGGAAAUUCCAAGGUAGUUGACCAGCGUUAGCAGACCUUUUCUCUCCUUCCCUAUCUUUUAGCUUUAUGCAUUUAGUUUUAGCCUUUCAUAGACAAUAGCUCCAUAUUUUUGUUUUGUAGGCGCUCAUGUACUCAAUAACAUCCCGAUAUUAGGAGUUUCUGUAUUGGGUUUUGACUUUUUAUCUAGUUUUUGAGAGUUUUGAUGAUUUAAAUUUGUAUUAAGUUAUUAUUCAUUUAAAAGUAUUGAAAGUAUUUUAAAGUGUCGGAUUACUUAAUACCACGCUAGGCGCCUUCACAAUAGGCUAACUUUUAGGUCGUGACAUCUAAGUUAUUAAAAUCAAUAGAGAACAUGAUCAAACUUUUAAAAUACUCAACAUGACAGUUUUAAAUUUUCCAAGAAAUGUGAUUUGCCUUAUAAUCACAUAAGGGUGUAUUAAAAUUUAAGGUGGAUUUGUAAAACAUCCAAACCAACAAAGAGUAAUUUUUACGUUGAAAGUUGAAAUAGAAGGUCGCAUUCCAUAAAGUUGAAGCAUAAAUUAAUACAAAUAAAUAAAAUCCAGAAACAAAUAUCAAUAUAAUUUUAUUAAUAAGGUAAAUGCAUGAUGAAUCAUACAAUUUCAUACCCAGCCAACUUUUGUAGUGGCGUUUAUUGUAAUUUUGAAAUAACGUGUUGUUCACUUGACUUUCUUUAUUAUACAUACAUGUAAAUUAAACAACACAAAAUCAAACUGCAUAAUGGGAUGUGUAGAAGAGCUUGUCUCCGAUGCACACUAACCCUCCGUGCUACAUACAGGAAUAGCAAGUGCAACAGAGUAUCGACAAGCGCAACAAACCCAACAGUCGUUGCAAUUAACGCGAGAAUUACAAGAUCUAAAACAAGUGUUGAGUUGUGGGAGUAGUCUCUUCCUCAUUCCUAAUAGAUUAUGAUCAACAUCCAGUGCAGCUCUGACUGUUGUGUUUGUCAAAAAGGGCACAUGUGCUACAAAUAUUCGUUAUACAGGGAAUUAGAUGUAAAUUCAUGCUUUAAUAUGAAAGAUAUACACAGUCAUGUAUAUAUAAAACUACAUACAUAAUACAAGAUGUAGAUAAUAUAUAAUUAAAAUUUACACUUAAACGUAAGCGGUACUUACUAGUUGCCACCAUGACGAGAAUAGCGAGCACAAAAGAAUUCUUUAGCAACAUCAUUGUGUUAUAAAAGUUUAUGAGUGGCUAAUUACUUCUAAAAUGUCGUAAUUUAUAGACCUUCUUGAGAUCAAACUACAUCUCUGGCAUGUGCCGUACUUGCUUCGUUUUUUGCUUUUCUAGAUUAUUUAUUAUC